ensembl:lncRNA
CUUCCGUGGCCCCGCCCAGCUUUGUUCCAAAGGCACACCGCCUGUGGCUACUACUGUCCUUGGAACUCACCAGCUUCAUCCACUGCCCCUGGCUAAGAGCUAAUCAGGCCCAGGCAGGGUUCCAAAGCAACCAGAAGAGAGGUGAGGGGGAAAGGGUGUUAUUUUAACCCGAAAGAUCCAUGGGAAAGGAGGCAUGUAGUAAAAUGAUACUGGCCAGUAUCUUAUAAAUGCCAGACCCUGUGUUGGUGAAGCCUCGGGGUCCGUGGCUCUGGACAAGAACCUGAUCUCUAGGAAUCCAGGGUUUUUCUUCUAGGAAAUGACAAGUUACGCUCUGACAUGCAGUGGUGAUCUGCCAUCUCUGCCUGCUCCCCACAUCGUGCCAGCUGGUCCAUCCCAAUGGGCAGAGUGGCAGGGGCACCGUGGGACCCUCCUCCCCAGCACAGAGCAGAUUCUUCCUCCCAGCCUCUGAGGAAACCACCCCCACUGACACCUUGACCUUGGACUUCCAGCCUCCAGAACUGUGAGAUAACCAAUUUCUCUUGUUUAUGUCACCCAACUGUAGUACUUUAUAAAGGCAGCCCCAGCAAACAGAGAUGGUGGGGCGCUGUGAGAGAGGACAGACCUCUGCCUCUUGCCACCUGUGUGACUUUUGAGAAGUUACUGACUGUCACCAAGACUAGUUCCUUUUUCUGUGAAAUGGGGUUAACACCAGUGACUGCCUCAC